ensembl:lincRNA Gm29168 predicted gene 29168
GGGACUCUCAACUAUGUCACCAAAUUGAAUUAAAGUACAUGAGGAAGUGUUUCCAGUGAAAUUAAGAUCCAGAGCUGCCUCUCUCCUCAGCUUGCUGUUUGUGUUUUCUCAGUAUGACAAAGAAAGCAUAGGAGAGAUGGAAGAACAUGAUGUCCUGCAGGGCUGUGAGGAGGUUAAAAAUGGCUUUUUCAAAUCCAUAGGAGGCUCUUUGUGCAGGCCAUUCGGGGCCUCAGAGAUGGCUGGACCUGGGGACUGGAAAUGAAGAGAAGAGAGUAGUCUUGCCUCUGAAGUGGAGGCAGAAGAAACUGUGAAAAUUAUGUUCACUAGAGAGUUCUAAACCGUUUCCUUUGUUGCUAUUGAUUUGGACUGUGUGAUUCUUGGAGAUACUGUGGAAUUCCACCAAAAGCCAGAGACUAAGGCAACAAGUCCCACGAGUCGAAAUGACCCUGAGAGAGAGCCCUGAGGAGAUCCACCUCACACCUAGUCGGUCUCUCCUCUGGGGGCAGCAUACUCGUUCCCUGGGACAGGCACUUGAUGCAACGUUUCUCUUACAUCAAGAGCUAACGUGCAGAGAAAUACACCUUUAGGACAGCCCCACGAGGCACAGCCAGAUGCCAACUGAAGAUGGACAGGUGACGGAGUCCCUGGGAGAAGUCUGAUUCGUCACAUCUCUCCCUUACCAUCACC